ACCCCCGGAAGUCUCCAGGCAAAGAAGCUCCAAGCCAGGGGUCCCACGGCUGCCGGGAUGGGCGGGCGACGGCCUGGGGCGCGGUCUCCGGCCCGGGGAGGCCAGCCCGCAGGCCUGAAAUACCAAAGUUAAGUAUCCCAGAAGGAUCUAAACAAACCGGAGUGCCACAGCUAGUCUCCCAGGACUGAAGCCGAGAAAGAACCAGGGGAAAGAAAUGCUUCAUGAAGCCAGCAAAUCAAGAUCUAGAGCUUGGAACUGGAAAGAAUGACUCAGAGUGCUUGCUGCUCUCUGAUAGACUUCGUUCCGAGCAACCACUCCAGACAGUUCUCAACCAUGGAAAACUCCAGCUCCGGAAGAUCCAACACCCUCUUCUAACUUCUUCAUAUGCAGACAUAAACAUAAAUAAAAUCUUAAGCUGGGUAGUAGUAGCC